rnacentral:rRNA from 1 species
UGGCUCAGGAUGAACGCUGGCGGCGUGCCUAACACAUGCAAGUCGAACGUAGUUACUUGCUUAGAUCUCUUCGGAGUGACGAGCUUUUAACUUAGUGGCGGACGGGUGAGUAACACGUGAGCAACCUGCCUUUCAGAGGGGGAUAACGGCUGGAAACGGUCGCUAAUACCGCAUGACAUAUUGAAUCGGCAUCGGUUUAAUAUCAAAGGAGCAAUCCGCUGAAAGAUGGGCUCGCGUCUGAUUAGAUAGUUGGUGGGGUAACGGCCUACCAAGUCGACGAUCAGUAGCCGGACUGAGAGGUUGAACGGCCACAUUGGGACUGAGAUACGGCCCAGACUCCUACGGGAGGCAGCAGUGGGGAAUAUUGCACAAUGGGGGAAACCCUGAUGCAGCAACGCCGCGUGAAGGAAGACGGUUUUCGGAUUGUAAACUUCUUUUCUUAGUGAAGAAGCAAGUGACGGUAGCUAAGGAGUAAGCAUCGGCUAACUACGUGCCAGCAGCCGCGGUAAUACGUAGGAUGCGAGCGUUAUCCGGAAUUACUGGGUGUAAAGGGAGCGCAGGCGGGACUGCAAGUUGGAUGUGAAAUACCGCAGCUUAACUGCGGAGCUGCAUCCAAAACUGUAGUUCUUGAGUGGAGUAGAGGCAAGCGGAAUUCCGAGUGUAGCGGUGAAAUGCGUAGAUAUUCGGAGGAACACCAGUGGCGAAGGCGGCUUGCUGGGCUCUAACUGACGCUGAGGCUCGAAAGUGUGGGGAGCAAACAGGAUUAGAUACCCUGGUAGUCCACACUGUAAACGAUGAUAGCUAGGUGUGGGGGGUCUGACCCCUUCCGUGCCGGAGUUAACGCAGUAAGCUAUCCACCUGGGGAGUACGGCCGCAAGGUUGCAACUCAAAGGAAUUGACGGA